rnacentral:rRNA from 1 species
AUUGAACGCUGGCGGCAUGCCUUACACAUGCAAGUCGAACGGUGACAGGUCUUCGGAUGCUGACGAGUGGCGAACGGGUGAGUAAUACAUCGGAACGUGCCUAGUAGUGGGGGAUAACUACUCGAAAGAGUGGCUAAUACCGCACGAGAUCUACGGAUGAAAGCAGGGGAUCGCAAGACCUUGUGCUACUAGAGCGGCCGAUGGCAGAUUAGGUAGUUGGUGGGAUAAAAGCUUACCAAGCCGACGAUCUGUAGCUGGUCUGAGAGGACGAUCAGCCACACUGGGACUGAGACACGGCCCAGACUCCUACGGGAGGCAGCAGUGGGGAAUUUUGGACAAUGGGCGCAAGCCUGAUCCAGCAAUGCCGCGUGCAGGAUGAAGGCCUUCGGGUUGUAAACUGCUUUUGUACGGAACGAAAAGCCCUGGGUUAAUACCCUGGGGUCAUGACGGUACCGUAAGAAUAAGCACCGGCUAACUACGUGCCAGCCGCCGCCGUAAGAC